UCCGCAGGCGGGCAAUUAAGUCAGAGGUGAAAUCCUGCAGCUCAACUGUAGAAUUGCCUUUGAUACUGGUUAUCUUGAAUUAUUGUGAAGUAGUUAGAAUAUGUAGUGUAGCGGUGAAAUGCAUAGAUAUUACAUAGAAUACCAAUUGCGAAGGCAGAUUACUAACAAUAUAUUGACACUGAUGGACGAAAGCGUGGGGAGCGAACAGGAUUAGAUACCCUGGUAGUCC
rnacentral:rRNA from 1 species